rnacentral:rRNA from 1 species
GUGCCAGCAGCCGCGGUAAUACGGAGGGUGCAAGCGUUGUCCGGAUUUAUUGGGUUUAAAGGGUGCGUAGGCGGCUGUUUAAGUCAGUGGUGAAAGACUCCGGCUCAACCGGAGCAGUGCCAUUGAUACUGGACAGCUUGAGUAUUGGAGGGGUACAUGGAAUUGAUGGUGUAGCGGUGAAAUGCAUAGAUACCAUCAGGAACACCGAUAGCGAAGGCAUUGUACUGGCCAAUAACUGACGCUGAUGCACGAAAGCAUGGGUAGCGAACAGGAUUAGAUACCCUGGUAGUCCAUGCCGUAAACGAUGAUUACUCGCUGUUAUGCCUUUAUGGUGUAGCGGCCAAGCGAAAGCGUUAAGUAAUCCACCUGGGGAGUACGCUCGCAAGAGUGAAACUCAAAGGAAUUGACGG